CAUCUCAACACAUCAACAAGAAGAUUUCUACAGUCUGUUCUAAGUCCAGACUGACCUCGAUACUGUCGAACUUCAGACUUUCACUUGGGUGUCUCCUGCCCCAGGAUCAGAUCUGGCUAAUGAUGAACAGAAGAAAGCAAGCUGAGGUCAAAAGACAGCGAGAUUUCAGACGACCGAUGGAGGUUUCGCAGGAUGAAGAUGAAGAUCGGUGGAUAUACAGAGAUAAAAAUGCCAUCAUCAGCAUUAUUAAUUUGAAAGACAGGAUGACAUAUGUUGAAAAAGUAGUUAAUCUGAUUUAUUCGAAUUUUCCUCCUCAUUUGAAUAUUUUAGAAAAAAAACAUAUAUUUUUUCCUGUCAAUCAAACUGUGUCUGCUAAAAUGUCAUAUUUUAUAAGGCACUUUAAAAUCUAUGAAAAGGUUGAUUUACACAAUCAGUUCGCAUUUACAGUGAUUGAACUUAUAAAAGGAGAUCCUAUAUUAAUCGGACCCUUUAAGCCAAAAAACAUUUAUCUGAAUGGAAAACAUUCUGAGACGCAUCAUACUGAACAUCAAUGCAUACAACCUCUAGAUCAGUAUAUUAAGAAGAAUAAGAGUAUGAUAAAAGCUAUACACAUGUUUACAAAAUUAAGCCCCUGUUUAUUUAUAAAAGGUCAUUGUGAUCCUUGUAUGAUCAAGUUAGCUAAUUUCUCUGAAGAAAUGAUUAAUAAAUAUA